AUUGAACGCUGGCGGAAUGCUUUACACAUGCAAGUCGAACGGCAGCACGGACUUCGGUCUGGUGGCGAGUGGCGAACGGGUGAGUAAUGUAUCGGAACGUGCCCAGUCGUGGGGGAUAACGUCGUGAAAAUUACGCUAAUACCGCAUACGAUCUAAGGAUGAAAGCGGGGGAUCGCAAGACCUCGCGCGAUUGGAGCGGCCGAUAUCAGAUUAGGCAGUUGGUGGGGUAAAGGCUAACCAAGCCAACGAUCUGUAGCUGGUCUGAGAGGACGACCAGCCACACUGGAACUGAGACACGGUCCAGACUCCUACGGGAGGCAGCAGUGGGGAAUUUUGGACAAUGGGCGAAAGCCUGAUCCAGCCAUUCCGCGUGCAGGAUGAAGGCCCUCGGGUUGUAAACUGCUUUUGUACAGAACGAAAAGGUUUCUACUAAUACUAGGAGCUCAUGACGGUACUGUAAGAAUAAGCACCGGCUAACUACGUGCCAGCCGCCGCCGUAA
rnacentral:rRNA from 1 species